rnacentral:rRNA from 1 species
GACGAACGCUGGCGGCGUGCUUAACACAUGCAAGUCGAACGGUAAGGCCCUUCGGGGUACACGAGUGGCGAACGGGUGAGUAACACGUGGGUGAUCUGCCCUGCACUUCGGGAUAAGCCUGGGAAACUGGGUCUAAUACCGGAUAGGACCACUGCCUGCAUGGGUGGUGGUGGAAAGCUUUUGCGGUGUGGGAUGGGCCCGCGGCCUGUCAGCUUGGCGGUGGGGUGAUGGCCUACCAAGGCGACGACGGGUAGCCGGCCUGAGAGGGUGACCGGCCACACUGGGACUGAGAUACGGCCCAGACUGCUACGGGAGGCAGCAGUGGGGAAUAUUGCACAAUGGGCGCAAGCCCGAUGCAGCGACGCCGCGUGAGGGAUGACGGCCUUCGGGUUGUAAACCUCUUUCAGCACCGACGAAGCGCAAGUGACGGUAGGUGCAGAAGAAGGACCGGCCAACUACGUGCCAGCAGCCGCUGUAA